CAUAGGAGCAGUGGUGUGUGUGAGUGGUGCAAUGUGUAAGGGGUGCAGUGUGUGUGUGAAGGUUGUAGUGUGUGAGUGAGGGCGGCAGUGUAUGUCAGGGAUGCAGUGUAUGUGUGGGACAGUAUGUGUGUGUAACAGUUGCAGUGUGUGUGUAUGGGGGGCAGUGUGUGUGUAUGGGGGGGCAGUAUGUGUGUAUGGGGGGCAGUAUGUGUGUAUGCAGUGCGUGUGUAUGAGGGGCAGUGCGUGUGUAUGAGGGGCAGUUUGUGUGUAUGGGGCAGUUUGUGUGUAUGGCGGGCAGUUUGUGUGUGUAUGGGGGCAGUGUGUGUGUGUAUGGGGGGCAGUAUGUGUGUAUGUGGGGCAGUAUGUGUGUAUGUGGGGCAGUAUGUGUGUAUGUGGGGAAGUAUGUGUGUAUGGGGGCCAGUGUAUGUGUAUGAGGGGCAGUGUGUGUGUAUGGGGGCAGUGUGUGUGUAUGGGGCAGUGUGUGUGUAUGGGGGCAGUUUGUGUGGGGCAGUUUGUGUGAAUGGGGGGCAGUUUGUGUGUAUGGGGGGCAGUUUGUGUG